rnacentral:rRNA from 1 species
GACAGAGGGUGCAAACGUUGUUCGGAAUUACUGGGCGUAAAGCGCGUGUAGGCUGCUCGGAAAGUCGGAUGUGAAAGCCCUGGGCUUAACCUAGGAAGUGCAUUCGAAACUUCCGAGCUGGAGUUCUGGAGAGGAAGGCGGAAUUCUCGGUGUAGAGGUGAAAUUCGUAGAUAUCGAGAGGAACACCGGUGGCGAAGGCGGCCUUCUGGACAGUGACUGAUGCUGAGGCACGAAGGCCAGGGGAGCAAACGGG